UGGGGAAUAUUGCACAAUGGGGGAAACCCAUGAUGCAGCAACGCCGCGUGAGUGAUGAAGGCCUUCGGGUCGUAAAGCUCUUUGAUCAGGGACGAUAAUGACGGUACCUGAAAAACRRGCCGCGGMUAASUACGUG
rnacentral:rRNA from 1 species